CUAUUGUACCAGAGUCUUACUUAUUUCGUCCUAAUCAUGCGAUGCUUACAAUACAAGAAGCAGUUGGUUCCACAGUUGCAUGGCCUUCUAAAAAAGUUAUUCCAAGAGAUAUGACAAGCGAAGUAUAAAAGGAUACUUAAGACUCCUUGAAAGUAGUAACUUUGUUUAUUUCUUUGUGUUGAAAGUAGUAACUUUUAGACUCCUUGAAUACUUAAAGAAUAUUUUGUUGUUGAUGACAGUGUUGAAUGUUUUAAACUAAAUUGUGGAUUGUUAAUUCAA